rnacentral:rRNA from 1 species
UUGGCUCUCGCAUCGAUGAAGAACGCAGCGAAAUGCGAUAAGUAAUGUGAAUUGCAGAAUUCAAGUGAAUCAUCGAAUCUUUGAACGCACCUUGCGCUCCUUGGUAUUCCGAGGAGCAUGCCUGUUUGAGUGUCAUUAAAUUCUCAACCUUAUUAGCUUUUGCUGAUAGUGGCUUGGACUUGGGGGUCUUUUUGCUGGCUUUCAUUAGUCUGCUCCCCUU